rnacentral:rRNA from 1 species
UACGGGGGGGGCAAGCGUUUGUUCGGAAUUACUGGGCGUAAAGGGCUCGUAGGCGGCCAACUAAGUCGGAUGUGAAAUCCCCAAGCUUAACUUGGGAACUGCAUCCGAUACUGGAUGGCUUGAAUCCGGGAGAGGGAUGCAGAAUUCCAGGUGUAGCGGUGAAAUGCGUAGAUAUCUGGAGGAAUACCGGUGGCGAAGGCGGCAUCCUGGACCAACACUGACACUGAGGAGCGAAAGCCAGGGGAGCAAACGGGG